AUGAAUUGUUCUCUCUCAUACACAGAAGACAGCGCGGAAGUUGAAUAUAACGCUCCCUGCAGCACAGGUAAGGAUGGAACGAGGCUUGGGCACAUGUCAGAAAGGAGAGUCACAUAAUGCUCAUAGUGGCCGCUGGUGAGCUUUAGGUGGAAUUGUGCAGGCAUCCACUGUGCAAGGAGAACUCCCCUCCCUGCACAUCAUGAUGGGUGGCUGGCCUGGACCCACAAUGCUUAAUAUAUUAUGCCUUAUUUUCUUCGUGUUUCUUCCCACAGAGAGCACAAAGAAAGACCACCACUAGCUCUGCAUCCGAGGCGUGAAGCAAACCCAGAUGAACAGCACAAUUGCUGCAGGAGAUCUCCCAUCUUAGGUCAUUGUUUUGAGUCUGCUUUGUUAGGUCAUGUACAGAUGAUGUCUUGGCUCCAAAGAUCACUGUGUGCAAGCACAAAAGCACUUCUUCUUCUUCUUCUAAUUUUUUAUUAUUUUAUUCACAUAAUAUACAUUCUUUAUAAGAGACAACUCCAAAA